CGAACGCUGGCGGCGUGCCUAAUACAUGCAAGUUGAGCGCUGAAGGUUGGUACUUGUACCAACUGGAUGAGCAGCGAACGGGUGAGUAACGCGUGGGGAAUCUGCCUUUGAGCGGGGGACAACAUUUGGAAACGAAUGCUAAUACCGCAUAAAAACUUUAAACACAAGUUUUAAGUUUGAAAGAUGCAAUUGCAUCACUCAAAGAUGAUCCCGCGUUGUAUUAGCUAGUUGGUGAGGUAAAGGCUCACCAAGGCGAUGAUACAUAGCCGACCUGAGAGGGUGAUCGGCCACAUUGGGACUGAGACACGGCCCAAACUCCUACGGGAGGCAGCAGUAGGGAAUCUUCGGCAAUAGACGAAAGUCUGACCGAGCAACGCCGCGUGAGUGAAGAAGGUUUUCGGAUCGUAAAACUCUGUUGGUAGAGAAGAACGUUGGUGAGAGUGGAAAGCUCAUCAAGUGACGGUAACUACCCAGAAAGGGACGGCUAACUACGUG
rnacentral:rRNA from 1 species